rnacentral:lncRNA from 1 species
UAGAUUUUGAUGGAUGUACAUUGAUGGAUAGCCACAUGGAUCCAGAAAAUAAAGACUUCUACUGUGCAUAUUGACUAAAGCAAAAGAUAUGCAAGGAAGCUCAGUCUCUCAGUUGAGUGGAUUCUGAAAUUUAUCCUGUUGUCUUCAGCUACUAAGGCUAAUUUGCAAAUCACACUGUGCACGGGGUGAAAUAGGAGCACUUGGGAAGCACUGCAAUGAAUUUACUGCUUAUUCAGCAUAUUGAUAGAGUCUUCUCUAAAACAACAAAAAGUGUUGACAGCAAAUUGAAGAUCUUAAAGAAACAACCUGUUCAGUGGCUGCUGAUUAACUCCCAAAGAUUGAUGUACUGAAGAAGGAUGACCUCCCCUUGACACCAAUGCUACUAGUCAAUAGCAACCACUGUGACUCGGAACAAAUUCUCUGGGGGCAGGCAGUGAAGCUUCUUCUCUUGUUGACCUUACCAGACCACAAGGCUGAAAAUAUUCUGUGGCCUGAUGCCCUUAAAUUGAUCAUAUUAAUACAAUCAAGCAGAAAAGAAAUUAUUUUUCCCGCUCUCUGUCUAUACAUAUACUUACUACUAUAGUGUAGUAUAUAUAUAUAUAUACACACACUAUAUAUGUGUGUAUAUAUAUGCUAUAUAUGUGUGUGUGUAUAUAUAUAGCAGUACAUAUAGAUAUAAUUAGUAUAUAUAGAAGUAGUAAAUAUAUACAAAUAUAUUUGUAUUCCUCUUCAGCUCCAUACUUGAGAGAAAAAAGUAUCCUUUAAGAGUUCAUACAUCUAGACCUCUCUUCUGAAAAGAAUAAUAAUCUCCUGUUUAUCUAUGCACUUAUUUGCUAAUUAAAGAAGAA